UACGUAGGGGGCUAGCGUUGUCCGGAAUCAUUGGGCGUAAAGAGCGUGUAGGCGGCCAGGUAGGUCUGCUGUGAAAACUCGAGGCUUAACCUCGAGCUGUCGGCGGAAACCAUCUGGCUAGAGUCCGGAAGAGGAGAAUGGAAUUCCCGGUGUAGCGGUGAAAUGCGCAGAUAUCGGGAAGAACACCCGUGGCGAAGGCGGUUCUCUGGGACGGUACUGGCGCUGAGACGCGAAAGCGUGGGGAGCGAACAGG
rnacentral:rRNA from 1 species